rnacentral:rRNA from 1 species
AUUGAACGCUGGCGGAAUGCUUUACACAUGCAAGUCGAACGGUAGAGGGGGCAACCCCUCGAGAGUGGCGAACGGGUGAGUAAUAUAUCGGAACGUGCCCAGUCGUGGGGGAUAACGUAGCGAAAGUUACGCUAAUACCGCAUACGACCUAAGGAUGAAAGCGGGGGAUCGCAAGACCUCGCGCGAGUGGAGCGGCCGAUAUCAGAUUAGGUAGUUGGUGGGGUAAAGGCCCACCAAGCCAACGAUCCGUAGCUGGUCUGAGAGGACGACCAGCCACACGGGAACUGAGACACGGUCCAGACUCCUACGGGAGGCAGCAGUGGGGAAUUUUGGACAAUGGACGCAAGUCUGAUCCAGCCAUUCCGCGUGCAGGAUGAAGGCCCUCGGGUUGUAAACUGCUUUUGUACGGAACGAAAAGGUCUCUCUUAAUACGGGGGACUCAUGACGGUACCGUAAGAAUAAGCACCGGCUAACUACGUGCCAGCCGCCGCAAUAA